AAAAGUACAAAUGCAAUUAUGAACAGGUAGAAUCUGGUGGCGUCAUGUGUUGCAUGUAUAAAGGUGGUACUCGGAGGAUGAAGAGGAGGAGAGAGGUGGUUGAAGGGUGACCUUCUUC